rnacentral:rRNA from 1 species
GACGAACGCUGGCGGCGUGCUUAACACAUGCAAGUCGAACGGUAAGGCCCCAGCUUUCUGGGGUACACGAGUGGCGAACGGGUGAGUAACACGUGGGUGACCUGCCCUGCACUUCGGGAUAAGCCUGGGAAACUGGGGCUAAUACCGGAUACGACCUCACCCUGCGUGGGGGGUGGAAAGUUGUUCGGGGGGGGAUGGGCCCGCGGCCUAUCAGCUUGUUGGUGGGGUAAUGGCCUACCAAGGCGGCGACGGGUAGCCGGCCUGAGAGGGUGGACGGCCACAUUGGGACUGAGACACGGCCCAGACUCCUACGGGAGGCAGCAGUGGGGAAUAUUGCACAAUGGGCGGAAGCCUGAUGCAGCGACGCCGCGUGGGGGAUGACGGCCUUCGGGUUGUAAACCCCUUUCGCCAUCGACGAAGGUUGUGUGACGGUAGAUGGAGAAGAAGCACCGGCUAACUACGUG